UAUUUUGGCUCUUGUUGGCCUUAUUUUACAGUUCUUUUAAAUCAAAUCGCGAAGUCCAAGCUGUGAUGAUUACUUUUUGCACGUUACGUUCAAAUGACGGCUAAUUUUUACUCCUAUUAAUUUUGUUAAAUAAUCUGCCUUAUUCGAUUCAUUAGGGUUCCCACGGCAAUGCCUUAAAUAGAGAAAGGCAAAGGUGUGCGGAGAAAAAAGAAAAGCGGACCCCUUUAAACAAAGCAUUAGCACGGAAGUCAAUGAUGAACGUUCGUAAGGAAAUACAAAAAAAAAAAACAAAAUUUGAAUAGCUUACGACACCAAAAUGACUGACCGCCUCUAACUUCAAAAAUUUUCAAAUUGUUAGCAAAAUUCGGACAAUAUAAUAUUUCGGUUUUAAAUUGUUAGACUUUGGACAUAUCAUAUAGCUAACUUAUGAAAAAAUUAUAGACUCGUUGUUUUCAAAUAAAAAGAGUUCUUCUUCGGUAUGCACAUUUUUUUGAAAAUAUAUAAUUUAGGUUUUUAAUUGAUCAAAAUCAGUCGACCAUACAUAUAUACCUGCUAUAGGGAAAACUAUAUGGUUCAGGAAAAACACUGUCAAUUGCAAAACCAUUUAUCGUCACAAAUCGGCACGGUGAGGGUGCGAUCGUCACUUCAUUUUUAAUUGAUUUGCAACGAAAAAACUUACUUUGAAUAUAGUAAAAGUCGAAAAUCCUGCAGCACCGGAUAUAUUGAUUUGUUAAAAACUGAAGCUACAACCCAUCGUAUCUGCAUUGUUUGAUCCGCCUUGGAAGCGCGAUGCGCCAGCAGAAAACGACCACCCUAAUGUGCACACAGUCGUAAAAGUUAGUUUAAGCUACAUAUGUACAUGCACAUAUGCAAAGCCCGUUCAUAAAAGUUUCACAUGAGUCCUCUUGAUGACCACUAUUGUAUUCAAUUAAAACCAUUUAUAAACAUAAUAAAUUAUUGUGCUCUUGAACUUCAGUUCAUCGCUGGAAGUGCAUUAUUCCCCUUUUACAAACAGAGCAACGUAAAUGAGAUAUAUCAUAUAGAACCAAUAUUUGGAAACCCGCAGAGAUUCUGUACUGCUGACUGUGCGAUUGAACGACGAAGUGGAACUGAAAGCAGCUGAUCAGAUGCGAUCGGAUACAUACGGCGCACCGGCAAUUUCGUUUUAGUUGGCAUAACAGGCCUCUUUUAAAAAUGUAUCUGCUGAAACGCAUUCUAAGAGUAAAUUAUUUAAAUUACCAUAUUACAAUUUAAGAAACAUUUUUUUUAACAUUGCCAAUGUCGUUAAUCACUACCUGUUGUAAAUUUAAUCCUUAGACCGUGUUAACUUUUAUAAAUUAUGAGUUUGGAGAUAUAUACAUACAGUCUUUAUCUAUCACCCUCUACAAAAUUGUAAUUCCUGGCAAAUAAUUGAAACGUGCCGCCCGGUAUUUUAGCUUCAAAGAUUUAGAACUGAGUGGUGUGACAGAAAGCAACUAUAUAAGGUAUAGUUUUAUUAGCAGGAUUUGAUUUGUCUUUAUAAUUUUGGUUUAAUAGUUGUUUGUUUUUAUUUCACAAAAUUGAGCGCUUCUAUUCAACAAGAAUUACAUACGUAUUAAUUACUACUCGAAUGACUACAUGUUGAUACAAAGGAAUUUUUAAAAUUUAUCCGAAAUUCUGCAGCAUUUUGUGUUUCAAAUUAAAGGCAAAAAUUUCGUUACUCUUCAAUAGAAAAUAAUCAAUAAAAAGUACCCAAAGCACUUACAUAAAUAUGCAAAAAUAAAUUUAUGUGUAUAAGAAAUA